rnacentral:rRNA from 1 species
UACAUGGGGUGCAAGCGUUGCUCGGAAUUAUUGGGCGUAAAGCGCGCGUAGGCGGUUACUCAAGUCGGAUGUGAAAGCCCUCGGCUUAACUGAGGAAGUGCACCCGAAACUGAGUAGCUAGAGUACUAAAGAGGGUCGCGGAAUUCCCGGUGUAGAGGUGAAAUUCGUAGAUAUCGGGAGGAAUACCAGUGGCGAAGGCGGCUUCCUGGCCUGUUCUUGACGCUGAGGCGCGAAAGCUAGGGUAGCAAACGGG